GUAGUCUCGCACAGAUGCAUAUCAAUAAGCGGAGGAAAAGAAACUAACAAGGAUUCCCCUAGUAACGGCGAGUGAAGCGGGAAGAGCUCAAAUUUGAAAUCUUAAAGGGUUUCCCUUUACGAAUUGUAGUUUAAAGAAGUGUUUUCUGUUGAGGUUUUGGUAAAAGUUCUUUGGAAUAGGACAUCAUAGAGGGUGAGAAUCCCGUAUUUGACCUUUACUUUCAACUUUGUGAUACACUUUCAAAGAGUCGGAUUGUUUGGGAAUGCAGUCCAAAAUGGGUGGUAAAUUUCAUCUAAAGCUAAAUAUUGGCGAGAGACCGAUAGCGAACAAGUACCGUGAGGGAAAGAUGAAAAGAACUUUGAAAAGAGAGUUAAACAGUACGUGAAAUUGUCAAAAGGGAAGCGUUUGACACCAGUGUUGUUUUUCUGAAAAUCAAUUAAAGAACUGUUUAUGCUAAGCUGUUUAGACUUUAUCAGCUAAUCUGUUUAGUUUUGAGCUUUUCUUUAAUGCACUUUUCAGUUAACAAGUCAACAUCAAUUUCUUUUGCUGUAAAAAAGCUUGAGGAAGGUGGCUUGAGAUUCGUCUUAAGUGUUUAUAGCCUCUUGCCUAUGCAGUCGGAGAGAUUGAGGUCUGCAGCGUAGAUCCUUCGGGGCUAAAUGCAUUUGUGCUAAGUUAUAGCAUUUUAUAGACAACUUGUUGACUAUGAUUUGUCUUGUAGCUUACUCGCUUAUGUUAUUUUACCUACGCUUAGGAUGUUGAUCUGUAGUGCGUGCGC
rnacentral:rRNA from 1 species